CCAUUUCGGGUCUGAAGCAUUUAGUUAUAACACUUUUUUCGAAAGCGAAAAACAUGAAUUUUAUUUUUGCUGCUUACAUCCUGAUUUCUAUUUCUAGUUUGGACGUGGUGAAAUCGGAGGGAACCUGCAGUCUUCCAGCGAUGACUGGGCCUUGCAAAGCAAUGUUCCACAGAUUCGCUUUCAGAGUCAGUGCCAAAAGGUGCGUUCCAUUUAUAUAUGGUGGCUGUGGUGGCAACGAAAACAAUUUCGAUUCUAUCCAAGCGUGUGAAGCCGCAUGUAAAAAAAGAAGUCUACCUGGGUAAACAUUUAACUUACAAGUUUUACUUUACAUUUGUCAAUCUAAAUUACCAUUUAGCUUUAAGAAUUCCAUUACCAUAACCAAUAUAAUUACGAUAAUAUCUCCAAA